AGCGCAACUGACGCUCAUGCUCGAAAGUGCGGGUAUCGAACAGGAUUAGAUACCCUGGUAGUCCGCACGGUAAACGAUGGAUGCCCGCUAUUUGUCCAUUAGGAUAAGUGGCCAAGUGAAAACGUUAAGCAUCCCACCUGGGGAGUACGCCGGCAACGGUGAAACUCAAAGGAAUUGACGGGGGCCCGCACAAGCGGAGGAACAUGUGGUUUAAUUCGAUGAUACGCGAGGAACCUUACCCGGGCUUGAAUUGUGAGAGAAGGAUCCAGAGAUGGUGACGCCCUUCGGGGCUCUCAUGAAGGUGCUGCAUGGUUGUCGUCAGCUCGUGCCGUGAGGUGUCGGCUUAAGUGCCAUAACGAGCGCAACCCCUCUCUUCAGUUGCCAUCAGGUUAAGCUGGGCACUCUGGAGACACUGCCACCGUAAGGUGUGAGGAAGGUGGGGAUGACGUCAAAUCAGCACGGCCCUUACGUCCGGGGCUACACACGUGUUACAAUGGGUGGUACAGAGAGUUGGGUGCCCGCAAGGUCACUCUAAUCAAUAAAUCCAUCCUCAGUUCGGACUGGGGUCUGCAACCCGACCCACGAAGCUGGAUUCGCUAGA
rnacentral:rRNA from 1 species